rnacentral:rRNA from 1 species
CAGCCGCCGGGAAUACGUAGGUCCCGAGCGUUGUCCGGAUUUAUUGGGCGUAAAGCGAGCGCAGGCGGUUAGAUAAGUCUGAAGUUAAAGGCUGUGGCUUAACCAUAGUACGCUUUGGAAACUGUUUAACUUGAGUGCAAGAGGGGAGAGUGGAAUUCCAUGUGUAGCGGUGAAAUGCGUAGAUAUAUGGAGGAACACCGGUGGCGAAAGCGGCUCUCUGGCUUGUAACUGACGCUGAGGCUCGAAAGCGUGGGGAGCAAACAGGAUUAGAUACCCCGGUAGUCCCUGUCUCUUAUACACA